GCCCACAGGGUAGCUUGAUAGAGAAUGAGACUCUUAAUCUCAGGGUUGUGGGUUUGAGCCCCACGCCGGGCA